AAGUUUAGGGUUUAAAACCCUAAUGCUGACUAAAGGAAAAAGUUCAGUUUAGGGUUUAAAACCCUAAUGCUGACUAAAGGAAAAAUUCAGUUUAGGGUUUAAAACCCUAAUGUUGAUUGCAUGGAAAAGCUCAGUUUAGGGUUUAAAACCCUAAUGCUGGCUAAAAUUCAAAUUCAGUUUAGGGUUUAAAACCCUAAUGCUGAUUGCAUGGAAAAGCUCAGUUUAGGGUUUAAAACCCUAAUGCUGACUAAAGGAAAAAGUUCAGUUUAGGGUUUAAAACCUUAAUGCUGACUAAAGGAAAAGCUCAGUUUAGGGUUUAAAACCCUAAUGCUGACUGCAUGGAAAAGCUCAGUUUAGGGUUUAAAACCCUAAUGUUGGCUGAAUGGAAAAAAUUAAGUUUAGGGUUUAAAACCCUAAUGCUGAUUGCAUGGAAAAGCUCAGUUUAGGGUUUAAAACCCUAAUGUUGGCUGAAUGGAAAAAAGUUCAGUUUAGGGUUUAAAACCCUAAUGCUGACUAAAGGAAAAAUUCAGUUUAGGGUUUAAAACCCUAAUGCUGGCUGCAUGGAAAAGCUCAGUUUAGGGUUUAAAACCCUAAUGCUGGCUGAAUGGAAAAAAUUCAGUUUAGGGUUUAAAACCCUAAUGUUG
rnacentral:lncRNA from 1 species